AAUCUUUCCCUCCGCCUUCAAAUCCCGGAAUGCAGAUACUGUUCUUGUGAAUCCUUUAUCCUUCACUUUCAACUUGUUCAGAGUAGAGACAGGGCAAAUAUUUGCACUGGAACCAUUGUCAACCAAUACCCUGCUAACCAUAUAAUCUUCACAUUUCACCGUAAGAUAGAGGGAUCUAUUGUGCUCAGUACAUUCCAUAGGCAACUCAUCAUCAGAAAAAGAGACUCUAUUCAAAUAUUUUAUUGGCGAUCUUUUCCAGGUGGCUCACUAAGAUUUUGUCGGGAACAUUAGCCUCUUUCAGGAUUUUCAUCAAGGCCGGCGAUGCUCGUCUGAGUGGAUUACAAUGACAAUAGUGAAAUCUGAGCAUGCGUCUUUCUCAACUCCUCCACGUUGGAAUAGUCUUGUACUUUCAUUUUUCUCAGAAAUUCCUCCGGUUCUUCUUCAGUUACUACUUCUUCACCAGAACUAGGCUAUAUUUGGAGGUUUUAGCUUUCCUUAGCUCUUUCGGGGUAAAACAUCUCCUUGAACGAUUUAAUCCAUAGUCCUCAUAGACUUCUUCAUUAACUUCUUUUCCCUUGUAGGUCAACGUCACUCGUUCAUAGUUCCACGGGAAAACCUUGCUGUUGACUAUUGGCAGAUGGGUUAUAGGCUUGAUGAUGACAGGAUCUGUGUGGGCACCUUCUAUAAUUACGACAGGCUUGUUUGCGACGUUUCUUGUUUUGCUGCAAUGUCACUUGGGGUUCUUUUCUCAAGUACCGCAGAUGGCCCACCGAUUGUCUUGCUUAUCUUUUUCACUGGUCCCUCAACCAUUGAUUUUUUAAUUAGCUUGACCUCACUAGACCAAAUCAUCAUGAUAGUAUGCGAAGGCUUCUUGGGCUUCCCUCCCUUAUGUACUAUCUGGAUCAUAUUCAUUUCCUGAUGGGUUGGAAACGGGUUAUGGUUGAUGUUGGGUGCAUCUGGAGCUUGGAAUUUAAUCCAAUUUGUAUUAAUAAGCUCUUGGAUAACAUUUUUCAAGUUCCAACACUUCUCUGUAUCAUGCCCCAGAGUACCAGAACAAUAUUCAUAACUUACAGAAUAGUCAAGAUUCUUCGGAGGAGGAUCUGGCAAUUUUGACUCAAUUGGCCUCAGCAUAUCCAAUUGCCUCAGCCUGUGGAACAAAUUAGUAUAGUAUUCUCCCAAUGGAGUGAAUGCUUUGUUCCUUUGCAACCUCUCGUUCUUAAAUGCUUGAUUGGGACAAAAACCUAAUCUAGGAGGGUUAUAGUAGGCUCCUGGGGGUGGGUAGGUAUUUUGUGGGGCUGGCACACGAUUUUUGCAUGGACGGAAAGUUAGGUGUAUGUUUGGGCAUGGUGGAUAGAAAAAUGAGGUUCUCGUGAUGCGUAGUAAUGUUGGGGUGGAUUUUACAGGGUUUGGGGGUAGGUUUGGUGGUGGGGUUGAAGCUGAUUAUAAUAGUGGGACGGGCCCUUAGAUCCGAACCAAGCUCCUGAAUCAAUUGUUGCCACUUCCUCUUUCUUCUUCUUUCUGACUACUCCCCCAAUACCGUUCUAAAUGGCCUGUGUAGUUGCCUUAAUAGCCGAAUAACUCAUGAUUUUAUUUGACUUAAGCCCUUCUUCUACCAUGCCACCCAUCUUCACUACUUCAUUGAAGGACUUGCCUAUGCCUGAUACCAAAUGGACGAUCUAAGUAGGUUCUAGGGCAUGCAGAAAAUAAUCCACUAUUUUGCUUCUUUCAUCAGAGGGUCAACCCUUACUUCUUGUUCUCUCCAACAGAAGUCGUACUCCCUAAAACUUUCGCCAGGCUUUUUCUCGAUCUUAGUUAAAGACAGACAACCCAGAAUAAUGUCGAGGCUAUACUAGAAAUGACAAGCAAAUUCUUGGGGUAGAUCAUCCCAUGUAUACCACCUGCCGUGACCCUGCCAAGUGUACCACUCCAGCACCAAACCACUCAGACUAUGGCUAAAAUACGCCAGUAGUAACUCAUCUUUCCUGCCAUCUCCCCUUAUUUUGCUAUAGAAACCUCUCAAGUGCGCCACCGGGUCUCCGUGCCUAUCAUACAAAUAAAAUUUGGGCAUCUUAAACCCCAACGGCAAAUGAUCAUCUGGAAAUAAACAUAGAUCUUUGUAAGACAUGCUCACCUAACCUCCCAAUCUCUGCAUAUUCCUGAAUGAUUGUUCCAGGCUCCUAACCUUCCUAAACAUCUCCUUAUGUUCAAGAUUUUUAGACCGUUUCUCAGUUUCCACAGGGAGAUUGAAGCAAGGAGUGUAGGACUAAGGUUCAGGAGCCUUGAAAGUGGGCUCCGAGGGGUAAUAUUGGUUAUCGUGGGCCUGGAAUAAGGGCUCGCUAGAAAAUCGAUGGAGUGUAGUGGAUGGGGUUGCCACAAAAACAUGAGUGGCUGGUGGAGGAGGGUAUGGAACUUGUUUGGAUGGUGGGGCUUGUAGUGUUUGGGAAGUGAUGCUCUGGUAGUGUUUGGGAAGUGAUGCUCUGGUAGUGGUUGGUAAAUGGGAAAGCCCGGAGAUGAAUCGGUAGUGGGAGGUUCCUGGGAUUGAGCCAAUAAUGUGACAAAAACAGGGUUAGCGGGGUAAGGUGGUGGUGGGUGGCCUUUUGUCCAGGCCUGGUACAUCUCGGCCAUAUGUGUUGUUUCAGCUUAUACAACUCUUCUUUUAGAUUGACAUCUGACUCAUCCCCCUCUCUCUACAGAUCGAUGAUACUUGCUUCCAGUUCUUGGUUAUCCAUGAUGAAUUUGUCUUUGGACCUGGUGUUGUAUGGAUGAGUUACCAGAAUGACAAACAAACUAACCACCUGCCUGGACUCAUUAUCAACAACAAACUUGUUAGCGAUUAGAGCUUAAUGGAUAGGCAACCACACAUUUGGGGAAUGUAAUGCACCUAGCAGUUAACCAUUUCUAUUAUGCAUUUGAUCAGUUACUUGCGUCAUCCCGACUUUCCCUUAUUUGCAACAUCUUCUUCUCUCUUUUUCCACUUAUGCCUUUCUCUGCUUGACUUCUUGUUGUUCUUUAUUCUCUCAUUUCUCUCUCUUGUUUUAACAUUGUUUCCUUCCCACGGUUUCUUGUUUUCUCUCUUUUUUCUUUUCUUUUUCUCUUUUGUUUUCCUCUUUUGUUUUCUCUCUUAUUUUUUUCUUUUAAUUAUGAUCGAAUCUUAUGGAGAUUGCCUUUGUAUCAUGAACCCACAUGAAUCAGAUCGACAAUAGUUCCCCCUGGAUAAGGGAAAAAAUAAAAAAUAAAAAUAUUUUGGGAUUUUCAAAUUUUCCAUAAAAAUAAAAUAUUUUGAUUACAAAGACUCAUCCUACCAAAUUUAAUCGUAAAAACUAACAGACUCGAUAAGGGAAACUACCAGACUCCAAUAGAAAUAUGAAAAUACAGACAAACAGACUCCAACAGAAAGAUGAAAAUGCAGUCUUGAAAACAAACUAACAGACUUCAACAGAAAGAUGAAAAUACAGACUCGAGUAAAAAUCAUGAAUAAAUUAAUGCCUCAACUACUCUUGGGGCCCGUGGGACAUCAGUCGGUCUCGCCACGAGCCUACGCGCCAAAUCUCAUUUAAGAUGGUAGAGAUCCUCCAUUAUCUAGAAGACAAAGGUCAUUACAAUGGCAAAAAACAUGGAUCUAGUCAUGUCCUCACACCUACUGCAUUUCAUCGCAAUAUAGUCGGUGAUCCUUCUGACUCUUUCUCUUAUGACACCCUUUAUUUGCAAUAACCGCACAAUCUGCUGGGUCCUAGCUUCCAAAGUUUAUUCAGCUACAUGAUUCUGUUCUUGAAGUUGUUGCAAAUCUCUUUCUAACUAUGUCAUUGUUGCAUAACAGUGUUCUCUUUCUGCUUUAAAGUCUUUUGCCUGCUUAAUCAUUUUGUUCUCAUGGACGGUGAUCUUUUUCGUCAACCCCAUACCUCAUUGCCAUAUUUCUCUUUUAACUGUUUAACCAAGCGUGCUCGCUCCUCCAUAAUCUUAGCCAAUUUUGUUCGAGCCCUUAGUUCACCCUAUGCUUUGUUAAGAUCAAAACCAUACUCACUCACCUUCUGUCUAAGGUUAUUUAUAAGCUUUCCAUCUUUUUCACUUCAAACAAGGUUUUCGGCUGCUAAUUUGAUUUCUCGAAUUUGAGCUCGAAGGGCAUCAUUUUCUAUGGCUAGAUUUUUCUUCUCGCCCUCAUCCGCGGCGGCUUACAAAUCAUUCUCAAAUUGAAGAUCCUUGACCUACUUUUCCAGCUUGCUUAUGGUAGCCCUAUACUCAUUUUCUCUAGCCAACCAAUCCCAUUGCACAUGUGCUCCAUUAGUGAAUUAUUGCACAUGGGGCUUUUUUGCGGGCCGUUCAACUCUUGAUGGACUCGAGAUCUUUUAUCGUACCAAGUAGUUUAGCUAGGCUUCAACUCACCUCUGGAUAGAUCUUGUACUUGAGUCUUGGGCUCUAAGAACCUGCACUGAUGCCAAAUCCAGCGCACCUUCUUUUCUGGGAAAGCUGCUUCUGGUUCCAACUCAAUGAUCUAUCGACUCAAAUCCUCAUCAGGUGGGAUGGUCUGGUAUCUGUCUAACUAACGUAGAACUCUAUGCGAGGCAUAAGCCUGGAUGCUCCGAAGGCCCAUCAGUAGAAGAAAACACAACUCGACUGACAUAUGAAUGAAUUUACCGAUCGAGAGCCACCCGAAUGUCCAUUCAAUCUUUUUUGCAGUCAAAGAGCUCAAGUAUGCAUACCAUACUUCCAUACUGUUCGGAAAAUCACAACCCUCCACCCGUUGUUCAUGUUUUUCAAUGCAUUCAAGACUGGUCAUGCCACAGUUCAUAUACCUCGGGCGGUGGCAAAGGUGUUCUUCCAUCCAAAGUUGUAAAAGCAUAUUGCAUCCUUCAAAAAACCUUCCCCCUUCUCGGCAGAGGGUCAGAGCUCGGUAAAUUUCUGCCAAGAUCAGCGGUACGAUAGUCCCAUUUGCCUUUUUCAUCAUGACGUUAGCUAUCCCUACGAGCCCCAACUCUAUGUUCCCAUCUUUUCUGGGGAAAAUCAAAACGCCACUAUAAAAUCUAAUCCUCUCCUAGCUUCCCACUUAUCUUUGUUUCCCGAGUUAGUAAGACCGCUAUCUGGCAUCUCGAAGCCGCAGAGAUUCUUGUAACGUCGGUACAAAAUCCUUUGGCCAAAUUUUCGUCUUGAAUUUCCCGACUGAUGCUUAACAGGUCCAAAACAUUGUGAGGGUUAUUGUUCUAGGUGUCACCGGGCAUUGAUUUAUAAUAUUUCCACUAAAACCAGCGUAACCCGCUAUCAAGCAUAGGAGUUAGCUCAAAAUCAGCAAAGUGGAAUACAUUAUGUGCUGGAUCACAGAAGGGUAUUAGGGACUCAAUUACAUCAUUCCUCGGCUUUAUCUUCAAGAUCCCGACAAGACCACCCAACAUUUUUAUCACAAUUUUUCUGCUGUCCUCCCCCAAAUCAUGCCACCACAUAUGUAGCUCUAACGGGAUUUUCUCACGGAAUAAGAAAGGUUCAUUUUGAGUUGUGCUCAUCCUGCAAAUUUAUUUAAGGUGAUUGAUUAAAAGACAAUGAUUUACUUUGACUCCAGAGAAAAAACACUCAUUUUCCAAAAUUUAAAACGAAACAUUCUUGUGAAUACAGCCCUUCAACACCUUACGAUAAAAGGAUAAAUUUUAGGGCAGUUUUUGUUGAUUACCAAAAUUUGAAAAAGGACCCUAAGUGUCUAUUCUUGCAAUAAACGGCCUUCCAGCACCUUUUGGGGCAUUUUUGUCUAUUUGGAUAAGAAUAUGGCGCCACGUUAUUACUCAUGACAAAACAACGACACUUCAUGCACAGAGUAUUUUUUAUAUUUUUGCAAAAAUAGUAUGACCCAAUGUGGGUGGCCUUCGUAAUUCACAUCCGGUGAGAAUCAAACUUGCAUAGUUCGGCCAAUUUUGAUGCAACAGAAGACACAAACUUUUGAAACAACUCUUUCUUUCAUCUAUUUUUUUUAGAAAAUUUGGCAGAGUUUUCGGGUAGUUUGGUCACCGAUUUCUCACAGGUGGGUAAUUUCCUCACUCUCACCUCAAUUUGGGCGGGUAGUUUCCUCACUCUCACCUCAAUUUGGUUUGUCUAUAUUUUUCCCUUAUUCUAGAAGCCGGUCAAUAUGCAGUCCAAAUCAAAUAAAUACGCAAGUAGCAAGCAAAAUGUAUCAGGACGUUCUUUUGAUUUCAAGUGCACAUGUCCUAGAGGACCUAACCCGUUGAGUCCCCAAAGUCAAAAUGCACAUGAUGCAAACAAGCGUUUCUACUAGGGAUCCGAUAUGAUGCUAUAUUAUACUAGGUUUGAGAACCUGGGUUUAUUCUUCUAUACAUGGCUUACCUGAGCGGACAGCUCGAGGGGGGGGCAGCGUAUCGGGAAUACAAAAGCUUCACCGACUUUGCAACUUGUCCGAACCUCGUUUUAAAAUUGGAAUGACUCUAAAAAAAUAGAAGUCACACGAAGUGCACACUUCCCAGAUGGUUUAUAAGACUCUGAGAGAGGAUGGAUUUGUAACAAUUUAUAUACAAUUCAACAAUAUCAAAACGGUCAAAAAAACAUUUAGCACAUUAGGCCCAAACAUGUGAAUAAAACCAGAUAAUAAAUAAAUUCAAAUAUAACAAUUAUUCUAAGCUCAAAUUCUGAACCCUAAACCAGAAGUUCUAGGUUCUUAUUCCCCAGCAGAGUGCAAGAGCUAUCACACCUCCUUUUUCUUACCCUCGAAAGGGAGUAAGGAAGUUUUUUCCAAUUAAGUGACUAUCGAGACAGGAUUAUUUGUUUUCAAUUCAGAUCCGCCACUUGGGAUAAUUUAUGGUGUCCCAAGUCACCGGUUUAAAUCCUCAAUGGAGGAAAGAUUGACUUUGUUUACGGUUCGCGAACACAGAAAUCGGGUAAUGAAUUCUGUUAAUCCGGGAGAAGGUGUUAGGCAUUCUUGGGUUCUGUGGUUCUAGCAUGGGCUCUCAACUAUUAGAUUUGGCCUAUUUACUAAUUCUAAAACACCUUUAAGCCUAUGUGCAUUUUAACUUUAAAUCACUUUUAAUUAUUUUAAGGAAGAUUUUAACGUCAUCUAAAACACGUCUUUGGAUCACGCCACAUGAAAUACACUUGCAGUCCAAGACACACUUUAUUUGAUAUUGUAAACAUUUAGAUUUGGGUCACAUGAAAUGCACACCCGAGUUUAGGAAGAUAAUUUUUUAAAUAACGCGCCAAAUGCAACUACGCACUUUCAGUUUUGCGAGGGCCAUGGAAAAUUCAGCUAAAUGUAACGCCUCAACUUUUAAGGAUUUAGAUAUUCAAGAUCAAUUAAAUGAGGUCCGCGCACUUUGAGAUUUUAUUUGGCACGGCCCACCUCGAUUCGAAUUUAAAAGAAAAUUCAAACUAAAAUUUUGAGAGCCAUAAGCUAUAUGCAUUAUAUGAUAUGGCUCACCUCAAUUCAUUUUAGGAAGACUAGUUAAUUAAGAGAAAACUUAAAGGGAUUUUAACUAACCAUUCAAACUCAUAUAACAACUACCUAAAGAGCUGAACUUGACGAAAUGUCAUGGGCUCAAGCAGCCAAGAGGUAAGAAGUCUGAUUACAAAGGACUUCAAGCUUGGGCCCAAAAUGAUUUGAAUUUUUGGUGACGACAAGGACGUCCAAGAGUAUAUAAUACGCAAACCAGUUCUGAUUUUGAAUGCCAUAACUAGGCCAAUUUUAGGCCCAAUUUUCAGAACCAAAACUUAUGUAAAAUCAAUUAAAUAACAAUCAACCCAAAACCAUAUGAAAAUAUGAAAUUUCACUAGCAUUUAAUUCUGAAUUUUAAUUACUAAUUUCGAGUCCAACCCAUUACGAGAAAAUCUAGAAGCAAAAAAAGAAACACUAGGCUCAAGAAAUAAGCUCGAGCAGCCAUGGUAUACUAUCCUCUCUUGCUAAGGACCUCAAAUCCCAGGCUUAAGAAGCCCAAACCUUGCCAAAAUCCAAAUCAAGGACCAAGACUCCAUAUCGAGUUCUCACCGGCAAUAAAAUACCAGCUGCAUUUAAAAAACAAAGGAUAAGCUUCAUUAUUCCACAAUCACUGGAAUAUAGGGAAAUUUUAAAAGCUACUGAAAAUGCAUGCUUAAACUUUAACUAUAAUGAUAAUGCAUUUUACCAAUAUUCAUGCUUGAAUCCAAACUUAAACUCAAACACAGCAUGAAAAAAACUUCAAAACCAUUCACCUUCCUCAAUACCAAACAGUCCCGAGUUCUAGAUAAUUAGCACAAGUUGCUUCAAUCCAAAUUCAACACCCAAACUUCUUAAACAGAAUAAGUUCAUUUCUGUAGCACAUCAAUAACCUAAGGUAACUGAGCUAACAUGAACAACACAUGAUCCAUUACAGAACUUUUAAACAAUGGUAGAAGCAAAUGAAAUGGGAAUCUAAGACAACGUGCAUUCAAUCAGGCCUCAAUUGGAAGUACAUGUUCUUAGCUACUUGUUGACAAUUGUUUGAAGUAAUACUUGGAAAUCGCCAAAAGGAAAAGCCAAGAGAGUGAGGGAGAAGCAAACAACAGAAAUCAACAGUGUAACAGUGUAGGAACCCAGAUUCAAGCAAUAAAACAGUAAAAAAACCAAACAACAAUACUUAAAACAAACUUUUGCAGGUCCCAAAUUCAAUCCAUUUCAACCCAAUUGCAAGAUUUUGCCUUUUUUGGGAGUGUUAACAAAGCAAUGAAGAUCAAUAAACAAGAAAUCAAACAAAUUUUGAGUAGGUUUGAACAAGGAAAUGUAUGAAAUUCAGGAAUAUUUCAAAGUUUUUCAAAGGAAGUAGCCAUUUCAGCUUUUAGGAUCUUUUUCUCUCUUAAGUAUAACUUCAAUCUCAAGUAACGAUGCCUUUAUAGGCAAGGUAUUAGGGCUGAAGAAAAUGAGCUAAAUUUUGCACCCUAACCCUUUUGAAAUUUUGGUUUUUUCUUAGACACCCUUAGUCUAAAAUUCAAAAAUUUAGAUUAAUCCCCACCCCAACUUCUAAGAAGCUUCCUCAGUUAGUUACCAGAGACUCUCCAAGCUAAUCUACCCAUAGUGCCCUUUAAACCCAUGCUUUUUACUUCAGAAACCAACUGGGUCAGAUUCCCAUUUACUUAACCCCCAAAUGAAUGAGUUGUUCUUUUGAACAUGGGUCGAAAUUGAACCCAAAUCCAAAACAACAAUGGACCCAACUAGAUUCUGAUUUUACCAACAGCAGAAAACAUUUGAAAACUAAGUUUUAACUACAUGACUAAUUAAUUACAUAACCAAGAAAAGAGUGAAUUAGGGUAUUAAAAUGAGUCGACCAAAUUAAAUUCACAUAUGAGACUACCUUGCUCGAAUCAGUAUACUUCAAUAAAGAUGAGAAGAGAAUAUGAGAAGUAGGACAUGAAUCAAAAAUGGACAAAAGAAAAAGAUCAAGGAAAGCUUACCGACUAAAACUCGACGCUAAUGCUGGACUUCCUGAUUUAACACAAUCAAUGUUAGUCGCUUGUUCUUUGUUAAUAACAAAUGACCAACACCACUUAUGCCGAAUUAGACAUGAAAAAUCUUGAGACUUCUAACACCUGUGGUCAUGCAAGACACAAAAUAAUAGGCAAAGCGAUUUGGCUUCCUAGGGCUUCGAACUUUGAUUCGAGAUUCGAAGGGAUUGAGAGAGAUUUGAGGGAGCUGUGUUGAGAUUCAUAGAGAGAAGGGUGAGGUGGUUCAGGCUCAAUAUUUAUAUGUACAAACCGUGGCCUCAGGCUCAAUAAUUAUGUGUACAAAUCGUGGCCUCGGGCCUAAGUAUACGUAUACAUAACUGCGAUUUCAGACCCAAAAAUGAUUAAAGCAUAAACUAUAACAUCAGGCCCAAAGAUGCAUAAAGCAUAAACUGCACCGUCAGACCCAAAAAUGCAUAAAGCAUAAAUUGCGGCCUCAAGCUCAAAUAAAUAUGUUCAACAAUCAAGAAUUUAAAACGAAGAAAUGAGAAUCAUACUACAAUACAUGAUAUUGAAAUACUAAAUCAUAUUGAGUUACGUGAUACUAGAAUGUUACAUAGAACAAGACAGGACCAUGUAUUCACAAUAAAAUAAUUUGUCACAACUGAGGCUUAUAAUAUGUUGAAUGAAUUCUGAACUAUGUCAUCUAGAGAAUAGAAGUUCUACAAACUUUCAUGGAACUGAGGCAUAAUAACUUGCCGAGGGAUUCGCAAUAGUCAUAAAGAAUGAGACAUAAGGAGAAUCAUAAAUAUUCUCCACGUAGAUAGUUAGCCACACAUACCUUAACUUCCUGCACUUAUGUGUAAGACAAGAUUUGUCAGCCCUUUCAACUUUAAUCUAUAGCAAUAAAAGUCAAAGGGAUUCCAUAUUAGCAAUAAUACUCAAGUUUUGGUCACUUAGACAUUCUACCAAACACUUGAUGGGUAUAAAUAUUCAUAGUCCUUAUUAAUGGAGUUUCUAUACCCAAUAAUCCAUUCUCUUGCUCCUAGAUAAAUUCUAAAAUCUCAAAUAGUUAUAAUCAAUAUCCUUCUUCAUCACCCAUAAGAUAAAUAACACCCUUUAACUAAUAAUCAACAAUUAACAACUCAAACCUAUAAUCGUUCAUGCUUUUCUGUCCAAAUAACCCAUAUCCCAUGAACUAUAGUCUAUAGUCAUUAAUCCAAUACUAUAAUUAAGUAGAGAGUGAAGAUAUCAUCUUUUUGAUGUUCAAUCCUCUUGAAUGCGAGUACUAUAGGUUGUUUUCUCAACAAUGGUGUCCCAAAUGAUUUGAAGGAUUCACCCAUGUUAAUAAGGUGUUGAAGAAUUAUAAUUAAGUUUGUUAUACCCUGUAUUUUCCACCCUCGGGAGUCGUGAUAGCGCCUACUCGUGAAAUCCAGGCAAGCCGAGUAUUAUAAAUUCAUUACAAUUUUUAUUACGCAUGUUCAAAAUUUCAAUAUAAUAGCAAUUAAAAAGUGGAAUAAAUUAAAUAACUAGAAAUGCAAAAUACGUAAACUUAAUAGUUUAACCAAAUGUUUGCUACAUAAUCUGAAGUACAAUACUACCUAAAAUUUAAUUUCACAAGUCACGUACCCUCUACGAAUACUACAAAUAAUGUCUGAAUAGAAAUACAUGAUUCUAUCUUUAAAUAAGAAAAAAUAGAAGGAAAUGAUAGAAGGAGACGCCAAGGCCCGCGGACGUCCGCAGGACUACCUCAGGUCAUAUGUUAGACUGAAUUCACAACCUCACUGCGGUCCAAAUGCUCCGAUAUCAGUAUCUACACACAGUGCAGAGUGUAGUAUUAGCACCACUAACCCCAUCUGCUGGUAAGUGCCUAGCCUAACCUCGGUGAAGUAAUGACGAGGCUAGAACUAGACUACCAAAUAAACUUGUGCAGUUAAAUCAUACACAGCAGAAAAUAAAAUCAGAUAUUCACAGUUAACGAUAGGAGGGGGAAAAUAUGCUGCUGGGAAUAUCAAUUAACAACCGAAUCUAAAAAGAGGAAUGUAAAGAAAUCAAGAUUCAAUUACUAACAAGGAUAAGGAAAACAACCACAGUAUUCACUUUCAUAUAUCUUGUUACAGGCGUGCAAUCCGCCCCCAUUUCAUGUAUCUCGUUGUAGGUGUGCAACUCACUCCUAUUUCAUAUAUCCCGUUGCAAGCGUACAAUUCGCUCCCAUUUCAUAUAUCUUGUUGCAGGCAUGCAACUCGCUCCCGCUUCAUAUAUCCCGUUUGAGGCGUGCAACCCGCUCCCAUUUCAAGUAUGUUGUUACAGGCGUGCAGCCCACUCCCAUUUCAUAUAUCCUAUUGCAGGCGUACAACCCGCUCCCAUUUCAUAUAUCACAUUGUAGGCGUGCAACCCGCUCCUAUUUCAUAUAUCACAUUGUAGGCGUGCAACCCGCUCCUAUUUCAUAUAUCUCGUUGCAAGCGUGCAACCCGCUCCUAUUUCAUAUAUCCCGUUGCAGGCGUGCAACCGGCUCCCAUUUUCAAUUCAACAUCAAUCAUAAAAGAAUCCUGGAAAGGGAACAAGAAUAUAACAACAACAUCUCGGCAAGGGAGAUAAGGCCAUAAACAACAAAAUGCACUUUCAGUUUUGCGAGGGCCAUGAAUAACAUCUCAGCAAGGAAACAAUAUCAUAAACAAUGACAUCCCGGCAAGAGAACCAACAAUGGUAGUCAACCUAUUAGGUAUGAAAAAAUCACAAUGGAGUCACAACAAUUACAAUACGAGACUCACGGGCAUGCUUGCCACCGACGUAUAGAUACCUGUCACCAUGCAUAUAUGUCGUACUCCACAAUUAAUACAUAGAAAAUAAGACACAACGCUUAUCCCUUAAGCUAAGGUUAGACCAAACACUUACCUUGAUGCCACAAACUCAAUUCAAGCCUCAACUCUCUUGAUUCCACCACCAAUUCGUUCGUAUCUAGUUACAAGUUACUUAACGAUAUCAAUAAAUGCUAAAUGAAUCAAUUCUAAUGCAUGAAAAUAGAUUUUCUAAAGUUUUUUUUAAAAAAUCAAUAAUCAAACCCGGGCCCACAUGGUCAAAACCGAGGUUCAAACAGAAAUCUGAUUACCCAUUCACCCACAAACCCAAAUAUAUAAUUUUUUUAAAAUCGGACCUCAAAUCGAAGUCCAAAUCCCCAAAAUUUGAUAAACCUAGGUUUUACCCAAAUCACCCAAUUUCCCCCAUGAAAAUCUUUGAUUUUGAGUUGAAAUCAUGAGAAACGAUGUCAAAGAUUAAUGAAAACGAGUUAGAAAUGACUUACAAUCGAUUUGGAAGAGUACUUGUCUUUGANNNNNNNNNNNNNNNNNNNNNNNNNNNNNNNNNNNNNNNNNNNNNNUGACUUCCAAUCGAUUUGGAAGAGUACUUGUCUUUGAAAAAUCGCCCAAAGGUGUUUAGGUUUUGAAAGGGUUUGAAAAAUAAAAACAUUUCGGCUAAGUUAUGAAUUUGUAGGUCGCAAAUGUUGCAAUUGCAGCCAGGGUUCACAAUUGCAAACCUCUUCAGGACCUGUUAUCAUCGCAUUUGCGCUCAAUGUUCGCACUUGUGAACUCACAUUUGAGAUGGGACAGUUGCAUUUGCGAUGACUGGGGAUUCUUCGAUUUUCCGCAUUUAUGACCAAAUGAUCGCAUUUGCAAUCAGAACCGCCCAGGCCCUCUCUUGCAUUUGUGAUGCUUUAUAAGAAUUUGCGAUCUCGCAUUUUUGAGCUAGGCUUCAUAAAUGCGAAUCCUGCAGUCCUGCAACAUACCAACAAUUGUUAAGUGCAAAUUUCACUCUAUGGCCUAUCCAAAACUCACCCGAGCCCUCGUCUCCAAACCAAACAUGCACACCAACCUAAAAACAUCAUACAAACUUGCUCGUGUAAUCAAAUCAUCAAAAUAACAUCAGCCACUAUGAAUUAAACCCCAAAUUCAUGAAAUCAUUCAAGAACACCAAAAUUUGAAUUUAUCAACUUUAAGUCCGUUUUAUACUAAACCAUUCCCGAUCUUUUUCAAAUUUUACAAAUUCAACCAAAUUACUAUUUCACACUUGUACAGGGUUCCAGAUCCAAAAUAGGGCCUAAUACCAUCAAAUUCAAACAUAUUUCAUUUCCAAAAACUCAUACAUAUUCAAGAAAAUAAUUUUCUUUAAAAAUUCAUUUCUCGGACUUGGGACCUCGGGAUUCGAUUCCGGGCAUACACACAAGUUCUAUAUUUUUCUACGGUCCCGGAGGGUCUAGAUCCUAUUACCCAAAAUGUUGACCGAAGUCAACUAAAAUUCAUUAUAGAAUCAAAAUUUACCAUUUUCCACAGAUUUUCACAUAAUGGAUUUUCGGAUAUAAACUCGGAUUGUGUACGCGAAUCGAGGGUGAGACAAAAUAGAGGUUUUAAGGCCUCGAGAUACAGAAUUUAUAAUAAAAUAAGUGAUGACCUUUUGGGUCUUCAUAAACUUAUAAUCACCAUUAGAAUUCGCUUUGGGUGGUGGAGGGACCUUGGGAGUGGUUAGGUUUUUGAGAGCUUUCCUUUGUAGAGCAAGUUUUUAUGUUUUGGGUCUGGGGAACGAAGUAGAGCUUUUAAAAAAUGACCACCCACCCGAGUGCUCCCCCUACACUUGAAGCCCCAACAGCGCACCUGAAUGCGCAACGGGGCAGUAGCACUGCCACAAGUGCGCAUCGCGCACGAGACCACCGGGCGCGCUCCUGGACAUGCAUACCGUGAAUUGUUCUAUAAAAUGCACAUACCUUUUUUCAAAAAGAUUCAUUCGGGAUCCAUAAUAUGUCAUUGGAAAUCUAUUACAAAAGGCUACAACUUUCGUCUUUUGAGGUUUCCUAAAUUACUGAUCAUUUUCAUUAAAUCCUUAUGGAAGAUAGAUAUUUUGUAAACUUAAUCGAUUUUAUCGAGUCUUAUACACCUCACUCUUCGUAUUAAUUCUAAAACAACUAUUUUCACCCAUACUCAUACCGAUAGAAUUUCACAUGUCUAAAAUAUAAUACUACUACUCAUUUAACGCGUUCAUAGCUAAGCCGAAUUUACGGGGCAUUACACUAGCAACUAUGGUCUAUAUAAAUGCUUAGAACCCAUCAUAUGCACUCUUCAUACCUUUCCUCAAUUUUUAAGCUCAUGCCAAGAUCAUUUAAAAUAUUCAUGCGACUCUCUCUAACAUCCUCGACUCAAACUUGAUUCUAAUACAUUCCACACCAUGACUCGUUCCUUGUGCCAACUCAAAAAUCAAGGUCUCUAUCAAUCCUUGCAAAUCAUGUGCCUUAUCCAACAAAUCACAAUAAAGUAGUCCACACACUCAAUAUAAGUUCAAGUAUAUUUUGAGGACUCAAAUAUUGAAUGAAUUUUCUCACUCUCACAAUAACUCUAAUGCCACCAAAGUUUGUACCAUAGGCUUGCCCAUAGUGUAAGUCUUUACUAAUUUAAGCUUGCAAAGUCUAGGAUCAAGUAUGACUUUAUAGUUCUAAUAUAGGCUAAGGGACGGGUGAUAUAUUUGAGAAAAAAGUGACUAACCCUCAUAAGUACUUUAAUACAACGGAAAAGGGUCAAAACUACCCCUAGACAAUUGGAGUUGGUACAAUAAUGCCCUCCGUCCANNNNNNNNNNNNNNNNNNNNNNNNNNNNNNNNNNNNNNNNNNNNNNNNNNNNNNNNNNNNNNNNNNNNNNNUACAAUAAUGCCCUCCGUCCACCUAUUUUGAAAAAAUUGCCCUCACCGUUAUCUUUUUGGCUCAAGAAUGCCCUUACGACUAACGGCCAUGUUAGAUAAUAAAUAAUUAAUUACCAUGUGCCAUAACGAAAAAAUGGUCAAAACUGCGCCUAGACUAUUGGAGUUGGUACAAUAAUACCCCCAUCUCAAAAGAUCUCUCCCUUCCCCCUCCCCCCCUGACGUGUGUGUUCAUAUUCCUCUUGUUUUUCUCAUCCUUUUUUGACCUUGCACUUUAUUUUAAUAAUCACUACAAAUAUCAUUAAAGUUUUAUUUUCAGACAACCAAAAUAUUUUGUCACCAAUACUUUACGUCAUACAACUUUCAAAAACCCUUUUAAGCAAAAAAAAAUUAAUUAAUUCCAUGUGUCAUCGUCGCAUUGGUGUAACUUAAGACUCACCUAAUUAAAAUAAACCCACCCAUAUUCUAAGACCAUUUUCCUUCGUUACUUUCUAAAAAAACAUAAUUAAUUUCCAUGUAUCAUCAUCCCAUUGGCGUAACUUAUGAUUCACCUAACUAAAAUAAACUCACCCACAUUCUAAGACCGUCUUCCUCCGUUACUUUCUCCUCUUUCUUUUAAAAAUUAUUCCACCAACUAGAACUCUCGUACACNNNNNNNNNNNNNNNNNNNNNNNNNNNNNNNNNNNNNNNNNNNNNNNNNNNNNNNNNNNNNNNNNNNNNNNNNNNNNNNNNNNNNNNNNNNNNNNNNNNNNNNNNNNNNNNNNNNNNNNNNNNNNNNNNNNNNNNNNNNNNNNNNNNAAUGUACACAUCGAUAUUCCUAUUUUUUUCAUCACAGAAAUACCAUUCAUCAUCAAUUUUUCUUACUACACUUUACUGCUUCAUACAAUACGCUCAACCAAGUGUUUAUUACAGUCAUAUUCACGAAUAAGUCCUAUUCUCUCAUAUUCUCAGGCAUAUAAUCUCAAAUAUUUCUCUUGAUUUAAUUGUCUUUUUUUACAUUCACCAAUAAGUUGUAUUCUCUCAUAUUCUCAGGCAUAUAAUCUCAAAUAUUUCUCUUAAUUUAAUUGUCUUUUCUUUUUAAAAAAAUUGGCGGUAUUGGUAUAACCUGAAGAGCAUCCUCGUACAAUAGCUUAAUUUACGAGGAUGCUAUGUUUGAAUAAUCACUACAAAUAUCAUUUAAGUUUUAUUUUCAGACAACCAAUCAAUGGGACGAUAGUACAUAGAAAUUAAUUACGUUUUUUUUUGCUUAACAUGGUUUUUGAAAGUUGUAUGACGUAAAGUAUUGGUGAAAUUUUUUUUUGGUUUUCUGAAAAUAAAACAUUAAUGAUAUUUGUAGUGAUUAUUCAAAUAGAGUGCAAGGUCAAAAAANNNNNNNNNNNNNNNNNNNNNNNNNNNNNNNNNNNNNNNNNNNNNNNNNNNNNNNNNNNNNNNNNNNNNNNNNNNNNNNNNNNNNNNNNNNNNNNNNNNNNNNNNNNNNNNNNNNNNNNNNNNNNNNNNNNNNNNNNNNNNNNNNNNNNNNNNNNNNNNNNNNNNNNNNNNNNNNNNNNNNNNNNNNNNNNNNNNNNNNNNNNNNNNNNNNNNNNNNNNNNNNNNNNNNNNNNNNNNNNNNNNNNNNNNNNNNNNNNNNNNNNNNNNNNNNNNNNNNNNNNNNNNNNNNNNNNNNNNNNNNNNNNNNNNNNNNNNNNNNNNNNNNNNNNNNNNNNNNNNNNNNNNNNNNNNNNNNNNNNNNNNNNNNNNNNNNNNNNNNNNNNNNNNNNNNNNNNNNNNNNNNNNNNNNNNNNNNNNNNNNNNNNNNNNNNNNNNNNNNNNNNNNNNNNNNNNNNNNNNNNNNNNNNNNNNNNNNNNNNNNNNNNNNNNNNNNNNNNNNNNNNNNNNNNNNNNNNNNNNNNNNNNNNNNNNNNNNNNNNNNNNNNNNNNNNNNNNNNNNNNNNNNNNNNNNNNNNNNNNNNNNNNNNNNNNNNNNNNNNNNNNNNNNNNNNNNNNNNNNNNNNNNNNNNNNNNNNNNNNNNNNNNNNNNNNNNNNNNNNNNNNNNNNNNNNNNNNNNNNNNNNNNNNNNNNNNNNNNNNNNNNNNNNNNNNNNNNNNNNNNNNNNNNNNNNNNNNNNNNNNNNNNNNNNNNNNNNNNNNNNNNNNNNNNNNNNNNNNNNNNNNNNNGUUAUGGCACAUGGAAAUUAAUUAAUUUUUUUUAUCUAACAUGGCCUUUAGUCGUAAGGGCAUUCUUGAGCCAAAAAGAUAACGGUGAGGGUAAAUUGUUUCAAAAUAGGUGGACGGAGGGCAUUAUUGUACCAACUCCAAUUGACUAGGGGUAGUUUUGACCCUUUUCCGUUAAUAUAAUACACUUUACUUUUAAGCACCUUCUUGUCAUGACCAAUACGAUGUCUUUCCAUGAAACUAUGCAUAUUUAAGCCCUUCUUCAUUAAGCAUAUCAACAUAUAGAUACUUACUAGCCUAAAAAAUAUAUGAGACGUGUUAUUCUUUUUUCUUCACUCUCCUUAAUUUGGUUUUUUCGGUUAGUACUUUUUUUUGUCUAUACGCAAGUGCACCUUCUCGACCUUUCUAUGGUUCCAAUAAAAAGCUACACACUCUCUUUCUUUACUAUGCUAACUACUUAAGUGUUUUCGGAUGUAAAAGUUCAACAAGAUUUGAUUAAGAACAAAGGGUAUUUGGAUUAUAAUGUGGUUGCCAAAGAAAGGUAUACAUGCUCAAAAGGGGUGACUACAGAUGAUAUUAGUAUUGGUAGGCAAAUGGGCUAAAUGGUCAAUCAAAAAAAGUCUAUAUCACUUUCCAAACUUACAAGACUUAGUCAUCUCGCUUUGACGCACACACAUGGAAAGUUCUAUACUAGAAAAGAUGGUACAAAGUACACUAAUAUCUCACCUCACACAAUGCACAUGACUCACUUAGGACGGCUCGGACCUGACACUCUAGUUAAAGCAACCAGCACAGUCAUCAUAUAGUUUCACCACACAAAAAUUAAUCACAAGAGUCUAGAGAUGAGCCUUGGUAUCAAAAGAAAGCCACACAUAUUUUUAAGGCAUGUAAUUACAACGAUCACGAAGAAAGUACUUAGUUCAAAUACUCCAGACUUCUAAGCCCCGAUAUAAAAUAUGUCAAACAUCAUAGAUACGCAAGUUCUCCCCAUUUCAUUAUCAGUUAAAAAAGAAUAUUUGUUUUGUAUUUUUCUCUGGACUUUAAACCCUCAAGAAAACUAGCUAGGGAGUCCAUCGUAGGAAAAAGUCCAAAACUAUAUAAGAAUUCUACCUACAAAAAAAAAUUACUACUAUCCGAUUCAAAGAGUCAUCCCUUGGAAAAGAACCGUGGCCAUAAGAAAACUAAAGAGGGAAUAUUUUUGCCUAAUUUUUUUUAUUUUUUCCAACACAAUAAAAUAAUACAACUAAAAUAAUAUAGAAAAUUACCCAAAUAGUCUCUUCACCCCCACACUUAAAAUAAUGCAUUAUCUUCAAUGCACACCCAUAAAUAUAAGUAGGGAAAAAGAAACUUCCUGUUAGGAGCCGAAAUAUUAGCAAUUCAUGGGGUGCUCAGACUUCUCCCAGACUUGGUUCUUUGUGCGGACACCCCACACUUAAUUCUAACCAUAUCACUUGCUUUUGAUUUCUUACAAUAGCCUUGCUUCACAUGCUCGUGGAGAAAUAAAAAACAACACUACAAGAAUAAUACAACAAAAAAAUAAAAAAAUACAAAAUUCAAAAUAAAAAUAAAAAAUUAAAAUAAAAGAAAGCAGUAAAAGUGGAUUGCCUCCCAACAAGCGCUUAAUUUAACAUCGCGGCACGACGUGAAUCACUUUUUGCCUCCACUUCGAGCUUAUGAAUUGAUCCCUAGUUUUGCUUCAAAUUUAUCCUGGGGAGGUAUAAAUUCUUACGAGCCAAAAAUUCACUUUUUGGAUCUCCACCAAGGAGUAUCACCUUUCUUAGACGGUCUUGAAAAUUUCAAAAUAUAAGGCUCGUCUACCUCUUCCCUGGACUCCUUUUUAUGUACGUAAGAAUCCAUUCUCAUUUCACUAUCUGAACAUAAUAUUGAAAAGUAUUUGGAAUGAGGUCCAACAUGCUCAAAUACAUGAACUAUAAGAUUUUCGACAUCCUCAACAACAAUCACACUAGAGUCAACUAAAUUUAUAUCCUCAAUGUCCCUGGUUGACUCUAAUAUUACUUUUUCCACAUCGACACCCUCAAAUUCUAGUUGGUUAGAUUGUUGGUAUUCUACUCUAACCUCCUCCAUUAGAACCUCAGUUUUGGUAUUUAAUUCAUGCCCUUCUUGGAUACUAUCCACAAUAUUGGCUUGUUGAGCAUUAAAUGCUUUAACUAGUUGACUGACUUGUGCCUCCAAGUUGCGAAUAGUAUCAUUUUGCCUUUGUAUGUGGAGUUGUUUCUCAUUAUUUUAUUCCACAGGGCACGUUAGUGUAUCUUUGAUCUCUUUCAGGUUAUUAUCUUUGGGUUCUUUGUUCCUAUUAACUUCACAAGAAAAAGAAAAAUCAUCAAAGUAAGGGGUUAGGGGAAGAAAAAAUUAUAAGCGCAACCAUAUAUCUCACACAUACCCCACACAUAAGAUUGAGUUGGUGCACAUAACUCACUCUCGGGAAUCUUAUGACAAUAUUGUCAUUGGUGAUUUCUUCCACAAUAAGCACAGGGAAGAUCAACAGUAGAAUUACCAACAUCAAAACUAUCAUAAUUCCAAGAUGUCAUGUUUCUCAAUUCAACAAGUAAAACUAAAAAUAAAAAAAUCAAAUACUAAAAAAAAGUUCAAACUUGAAACCUAAAAAUAUGGACACCUACAGCUACAUUGUUAGUUUCCCGGCAACAGCGCCAAAAUUUGAUCACGCCCAACUCUAGUCCUAAAAAAGAUACGUUGUCGCUGCAAAUAUAAUCCGGUCUAAAAGUCUAGAGUCGAAUCCCACGAAGAACUAAGGCUUAGCUAUAACUAUUCAGUAUUGCGAAAAAAUACAAGUCCAAACAAUUUUCUAAUUAUAAAGUUUAUUUCUAACUAAUUAACUAACAGAUACUAAAAACAAUAAAAUUAUCAACUAAUGAGGAUACAGUUAGAGGCAAGCCAAAAAAGGGCCUAGAGUUAUAAUUUUUUCAAUUUUCGGAAUCAUUCCCGCUAUUCCUCUUAUAAUUUUGCCUAUGUAUUCUCUACUGAUGGCUAUUACUUCAGGUGUCGUAAUUCUCUUCCGAGCAACUAUCACAAUUUACUAGAUAUAUUCUUUAGAACUAUGCUAGCUAGAACUACUUCACCGCUCACUACAUCGCACCAAAGUUUCGUUAUUCCUAAUCACACCUUUAAACCCUUCGUAUUGAUUCUUCACAUACGUUUUGAGUGAUGUUGUUCAAUAACUACCUAAAUAUAUACCCUUUUCCAAGCAGUACAUAAUAAAUAGGCAUAGUAAAUCAAGAGCUUUACAAUCAACUAAAAUAAGCACGUACUUAAACAAGUAGAGAAAUUCAAAGGCUCAAUUAUAUAAAAAUGUAAUAAGAAUUCAUCCUCCAAAAGAUUCCAUCAAAACCCAAGAUAAGAAAUUAUCAAUUCAUGCUAGUAUGUAAAAAUAACACUAGAAUUCAUAACAAUGGGAAAAUAGGAAGAAAGAGGAAAAAAUAUGAAGUUGAAUCCUUCUUCUUGCUCCAAGUGUGUUCUUGACUCCCUAAAGUCUUCUCUCUCUCCAAAGUAGUUUCUUCCCAUUCAAAAUCAUGUUUUAGGAUAUAUAGCGACAAGGGUUUAUUUGGGGAAGAUUUCCUUCUCCUAUUUCGGAUUGGAAAAGCUAAUUUUUUCUGCUCAGGUCCAGGUCUGGCGAGUGAAUCUCACUUCGCUCUCCGGGACUUUCCUGAUUUCUUCUACUCUGGUCCUGAUCUGGCGAAAUGAACCUCUCUUUGCUAUCCAGGGCUUUUCUCUUCAGUUUUUUUUUUAAAACCAAUUUUUCUCCCGUUUGAUCUUUUUUUGUGAAGUUUGUUACUACACAUAAGAAACACAUAAUGAACAUAUUUUCACUUUAAAAGCAAUGUGAACUCCUAUAUUCACACAAAAAAUAACAUACAAACACACUCAAAACAUGCACUUUUCAUCCUUUAUCAAGGCCGUAAGUAAGAAUAUCAAUAGUAAAUUUUCAAUAAAAACUAUAAAGGUAGAGUAAUUGAACCGCUCUUCAAGAAUUUGAUAUGUUGAUAUAUAACAAGAACAACAUACUAAGUGAAAACUUACAAAAUGGGUCUGGGAGGUAGAGUGUACACGUGCCUUAAUUCUACCUUGGGAGAUAGAGAAGUUGUUUCUGAAAGACCCUCGGCUCAAGAGAAAGCAUGGAAAAAAAGGGUCAGUUAAAGACAAUCAAUUCAAUGCGGUAUGAAAAUGAAAGUAACGAAAGCGAAUAAAUCAUGAUAAAAUAAUCUAAAAAGGAGUAGUAAAUAUCACAGAUAAAUAAGUUAAUCGAAGUACAAGAAACAAUAGAUAGUAACAAAAAUCAAAGGGUAAAAAACUAUGGAGCAAAAUAAGUUGAUAUAAUAAUAUCGAAAAGUAUUGCAUUGAUUCAAUAUAAUGAUUGUUUGAUGUAGUGCUUUCAGAAGACAAUUUGUAAGCCGGGAUAAGUUGUUGGUUGAGAGACUUUUUAAUAUUGAGAAUAGAAAAAGUGAAAAAAGUAAAUCUAUAAAUAAUAUGUGGUCCAAUAUUAGUUGUUAGGAUAUAAAUGAGGCAAAAAAAUUACUACCCUAACCAUAUAAGGAAAAAAUUUAUUAAAACUUAUUUCAUUCUCUGAUAAUUAUAAGGAUCCUCACAUUAAAGUUGUUAUACUUUCGCUCCAAAAACUCUUUUUAUAUUUGAAUGUAACACAUUUUUCAAAUAAUACAUAUAAAAUACAUGUUUAAAGGAAAAAUGGGGCCCCAAAAAAGUUAGGUCCCCAAGCGAUUGCUUUAUUGGCCUUUUGUCGAGCCACCAUGAAUAUUAUAAGGAAUUUUUACUUCCUAUAGCAAGUUUGAUGCCUUAUUUAUCUUAAAUAAAUAUUAUUUUAAAAAAUUAUACUCCAUAGCUACCUUUUGAUUUUUAUAGCCAAAUAUCUAUUUAUGGUCACAUCCUAUCUUUAAGCCAUAAAAUACAAUUUAUUUUUCUCGCUCACUCUUUUAAAUUUUUUUCCACCCUCUCUCUCUCAACGUCAGUCUUUCUCUAUGAAUACAACCACGAUUCUCCACUGAUUCAUCUUCAUUGUCUCGCGAAAUUUUUAUUGAUCAAUGGGCUAGGUCUCUAUAUCAAUGUAAAUGUUAAAAUCAAGCUCUAGAGAGAAAGAUGGAGGUUCGAAAUCUGCCAUUGAAAGUUGAAUUUGGAAAAGUUUUAGAGGAAUUGUAUAUUUGAAAAAUGAAUUGGAUGUAUUUGCUAAUGAAAUUAUAGUGAAAUUUUGGGGGAAUUUCUUUCGUUUUUGUGCCAAACUUUGAGAGUUUUGAGUCAGAAUCGCGGCCCUAUUUACGAGACGAUAUUAGGAUUGUUCUUGAACAAAGACGAUAGAGUUUGAGACUGAGUAACUUGAAGAGUCUUUUACCUUUUUUUCAUUGUAUUUCAAUAUAUCUCACUCUAUUCUAUGUAUUUCAUUGUAUUCAUUGACUUUUAUUUUCAUCGUAUUCCAAUAUAUCUCACUGUAUUCAUUGUAUUUCAUUGUAUUUACUGUCUCUCUAUAUUCCGUGAACGUAUUCAAAUAUUUUUUUAAUUAAUAUAAUUUAUGCAUUCAGAUGUAUAUAUGAAUUCAAAUGUAUCAGCAAUAUGUAUUCAGUGGCGGACGUACAUGGUUAUCUGUGGGUUCUCAAGCACCCAUUAUUUUUGGCCAAAUUUAGUAAAUUUAUAUAGACAAUUAUAAAAAUAUUUGGAUAAUUAUUGAGUGAGCACCCAUAACUAAAUUUCUUUUUCUUUUCUUUUGAAAAUUUUGUCGGCAAAGCACCCAUGACUUUAAAAUCCUGUCCGCCACUGUAUGUAUUCAUAUGUUUUUGCAUUAUAGAUGGCCUGCUAUACUUCAUGUAUUCAAUGUAUUUUUAUGUAUAUAAAUGUAUUCAAUGUAAUUAUAUAAUUUUAAUAUAUAAAUAUAUUUGUAAAGACCACUAAAAAGAAAUGAUGGAUUGAAUCUCCAAAAAGUGCUUUGUUUUUUUGGGUGUUUUUCGGUUGAGAAUCUCUUCUAUAACUGAAAAUACAAAAUUUUAUGUGUUAUAAUUGAGUUUGUUGAGUUAUAUUAGGAGUCUAUAACGUUAAUUGAUUCAUUUACCAUUUUUCAACAGCUGAAGACCUUUUAUUCGCAAAUUCCGUUGCCGUAUUCACGAAUGCAGCUCGCGGAUACAGCCGAAUACAUUCUCUGCUUAGCUGGACUCCCCAGUUUUCCACCGAGUUUGUCUACUAUAUUCAUGAUAUAGUUUAUAACAACUAAAAACAUAACUAUAAGAAGUAAUUUAGAAAAUGAUAACUAUAAUAAUUAUUAAAAUAUAAUGGUUUCUAAAAAUUUCUCAUAUUACAUCCAUGAAGAAUCUAUAAUAAUCUGGGAGGUUCUGAGAAAAUGGAGUUCCUUCAUUUGGCUGAAUCGAAUAACGUAGCUUAUGAGAGAUUUAAGUAAUUUUAUUUAGUCUUUUCAAUGUAACAAGAAAUUAUAUAUACAAUUUUCUUAACGUGUACUUGAACAUACAAGUGAAAACGAAACAAUGAUUUUUAAGUGAUGUACUACUAAAUUUUAGCCGAGAGAAGAAUUCUAUUUUUAGGAAUCAUAACAAUAAAUCCACUUCAGAAACAAACUUUUCAAAUAUCAAUAGUUAAAACCCAGGUUUUGAGCAUAAAAUUUUUGUCAAUUAAGGCACUUAUUCUUGAACACAGCAACGUAUAAGCACAACUCUUGAUCAACGUAACUAACCAAAUUUAAUAGGAAAAUUGUACUCACUUUAGAUAAAUUCAGGAUUUUGGCAGGAUAGGUGCACUAUUAAAAAAAAGUGUAUCCAGAAUAUAAAUUUUACGAGUUUAACCUUUAAUUCUUACUAUUAUACACUCAUUACAUUUUUGAAAUAUAACUUCGAAAAUUAAGUUUUUCUUUAAAAAGAGUAAUUUUCUUAUAUCUAUGUCUAUUUCCACGUUAAAAAUAUUGGGAUCGAUUGACUCCAUUGACUAUAUGCUACAUCAUAUCUUAUUACUAGUAUUAAAAUAUAUAUUUUGUUUAAUCAUAUAAGAUUUUACAACGACAAAAGAAGAAUAGAAAUUUUAAUGUGCGAAAUUUUUGAAAGAAUAAACUAAAUAAUUAAAGAAAUAAAAAAAAGUAAUUAAUUACUAUCCAAAGAGUGACACUAAACACGCCCAUCCCCGUGGGCGUCUAGUUCUACAAAAAAAAGAGAGAAAAAAAAAAAAGAUUGACAUAAGAUUUGAACUCACAAUCUCACCUAGAGAGGUACACCUAAUAACGAUAACAUCAUAUAAUACUUUGAGCGUGGAUGUACAUACAUACAUUUAAAUAUUUUUAAAAUAAUAUAACAUACUAUACAUGAUUUAGGGAGGGGACAUGGGUUUACGUGUCCCAUAGAACCCAGAUAUGCCCCUGUCUUUGUCUCAUAUUUCCCAUCGUGGUUUCUAAAAAUAGUUAUCUAAAAUUAUUUGUCAUUUUAGAAGUUCAAGAGUAAAUUAAUUAUCUUUUUCAUAUUCUACCCUUAAUAUUAAUUGUUCUUGAAGACUACAAAUACCUUAAUUAUGAUUUAUGAGUAAGUAAUAAAUGAAGAGAAAUGUCACUACCCGGAUUUCUCACCCUCGGGAGUCGUGAUGACGCCUACUAAUGGGAGCUAGGCAAGCCAAACCUUAAUUAUUUUUUCAUUAAAUAUACUCCUUUUUAACAAUUAUCAGAAAUAGCAUGAAAUAAUGGAAAUAAAUAAACAAAUAAGCGGAAGUCUUUAUUUAAAGGAACUGGUUAAAAAUACGGAAAUCUAACAUAAUUCUGUACCCAAGACUAGUGCAACAAUACUCACGAAAAACUAAGAGUACUAAAUACAAUCGUCUAAAAGAAAAUAUAACUGUUCGUCCCGAAUACAAUGAGAUAACAAACUAAAAUAAAAGAUAGAGGAGACGUCGUGCCUGCGGACGCCUGCAAGGCUACCUUGGUGUCUCGAUGGAUUGAAGGCUGGCUCCCGAUCUAAUACUGCUGCUCAAAUGCUGCUCCAGCACCCGAAUCCGUGCAAAAGAGCACAGAGUGUAGCAUCAACACAACCGACCCAAUGUGCUAGUAAGUGUCUGGCCUAACCCCGGCGAGGUAGUGACUAGGCUAGGACCAGACUCCAGAUAAAUCUGUGCAGUUAUAUAAUGUAUGGCGAAAGAAAUAGCAGGUAAUAAACAAGUAACACUGUGAGGGAAAACAUGCUCUAGGGAUAGCAAAAUAAACAGAAUCCUCAUGAACUGACAAUGAGAGCAACCAUUUAGCUACUAACACGGAUAAGAAUAGAUAAAACAACUUUCACUUUCAAUAUUCAUCUCGUUGCAGGCGUGCAAUCCGAUCCCAUUUCUCAUUAUCUCGUGGUAGACGUACCACCCGCUCCCAUUUCAUUGUCUUGUGGUAGGCGUACCACCCGCUCCCAUUUUAAUAUCUUAUGGUAGGGGUACCACCCGCUUCCAUUUCAAUAUCUUGCGGUAGGCAUAUCAUAUGCUCCCAUUUCUUCCAACACAGUACACUAUAUAAUCCCGACAAGGGAACAAAAUAAUGUGAUAACUUACCGGCAAGGGAAACAAUAACAACAAAUCAAAUGUCCCGGCAAGGGAGAGUCAGCUAUAGUCAAUCCUAUUCAACUUCUUCUUGGCACCAUUAAUACCAUUACUCAAUCAUAACUAAGUCCACGAGAAUAAACUAAGUCCUACUCAAUAUCAAGGAUUAUCAAUCACAAUUCUCAUAGAAUCAAUACACACCUAUCAAUUUAAGACCCACGUUUAUGCUCGACACCAACGUCUGGAUACUCGUCACCAUGCCCAUACAUCAUACUCAACACAUAACAAGUAGAAAAUACGAAUCAACUCCUAUUCUCUCAAGCUAAAGUCAGACGAAACACUUACCUCAAUGCCUUGAAUACAACUCAAGCCUCAAUUAUAGCUUUACCCCUCGGUUCCACCAUAAAUUCGCCCAAAUCUAGUCACAUGUUACUUAAUUACAUCGAUAAACGUUAAAUGAAUCAAUUUGAAUGCAUAAAAAUGAAUUUCCCAAUGUUUCGCCCAAAAAGUCCAAGAAUGCCCCCAGGCUCAUGUGGUCAAAACCCGAGGUUCGAACCAAAAUCUGGUUACCCAUUCCCCACGAACUCUAAUAUGUAAUUUGUUUUGAAAUUGGACCUCAAAUUGAGGUCCAAAUCCUCAAUUUUAGAUAAACCUAAGUUCUACCCAAAACCCCCAAUUUCACCCAUGAAAAUAUUUAAUUUUAAGUUGAAAACAUGUUAAGUGAUAAUGAAAUUUGCCCGAAUCUAGUCACAUGUUACUUAAUUACAUCAAUAAACGCCAAAUGAAUCAAUUUGAAUGCAUAAAAACAAGUUUUCCCCAAAAAGUUCAAAAAUACCCCCGCACUCACGUGGUCGAAACUCGAGGUUCGAACCAAAACCCAAUCACCCAUUUUCCCACGAAUCCAGAUAUGUAAUUUGUUUUGAAAUCAGACCUCAAAUUGAAGUCCAAAUCCCCAAUUUUUGAAAAAUCUAAGUUCAACCCAAAAUCCUCAUUUUUCCCAUGGAAAUCUUUGAUUUUAAGUUGAAAACAUGUUAAAUGAUGUUAAAUAUUAGAAGAAAUGAGUAAAACCCCACUUACAAAUGAUUUGGAAGAAAUCUCGUUCUUGGAAAAUCGCCUAAGCAUGUUUGGGUUGGAAAGAUAGUGAAAAUGGUUUAAAAUUCGGCUAAGUAUAGAAAAUGCAGAUUGCAGAUAUGGAAAAUGCGAACUGGGGUUUGCAAUUGCGAACCCCGACCCUGCUGGUGUGGGAAUUGCAAGAGAAUGGUUCACAUUUACGAACAUUGCCCAACUCCCAGACCUUCACAUUUGCGGAUCUUACAUCGCAUUUGCGAUCCCAGGCACUAUGGGAGCUUUUCGCAUUUGCGAGCAGCCCUUCGCAUUUGCGAGCUCUCUUUUGUGAGCCAGGCUUGGCAAAUGCGAAACCUGCAGGUCUGUUCAUACCAGCAACUUUCAAAGGUUCAAAGAUGCAGUCACGGCCUAUUCAAAACUCACCCGAGCCCUCGGGGCUCCAAACCAAACAUACACAUAACCUCAAAAAUAUCCUACGGACUUAUUCGUGCGAUCAAAUCACCAAAAUAAUAUCAUCUACAUCAAAUUAAGCCUCAAAAUCCAUGAUUUCUUCCAAAUUUCAUAAAACAACAAAUUUUCUAUUUCAAGUCCGAAACACGUCAAACGACGUCCAUUUUCAACCAAACUUUACAGAAAGUAUUUAACCCAUAUAUAAGACCUGUACCGGGUGCCGAAACUGAAAUACGGGCCUAAUACCAUCACUUUCUAAUCAGAUUUCAUAUCCAAUUUCCUUAAAUAUUUUCAGAAACCAAUUUUACUCAAAACUUCAUUUCUCGGGCAUGUGACCUCGGAAUUCAAUUCCGGGCAUACGUCCAAAUCCCAUAUUUUCCUACAGACCCUCCCGGACCGUCAAAUCACGGUUCUGGGUCCGUUUACCCGAAAUAUUGACCGAAGUCAAAUUUAUUCAUUUCAAAACUUAGCAAUUUUUCAUAACAUUUUAUAUUUAAGCUUUCGCGCUACGUGCCGGGACUGCGCACGUAAAUCGAGACGAUUCUAAAUGAUUUUUUAGGCUUCGAAAAUACAAAAUAAAUAAGAAAAUAGGUGAUAACUCUUUGGAUCGUCACAAAAAAUUAUAUCUUAAGACAUAAAUAAGAGUAAAAUAAUUAAAAAUAUUUUAUAUUUAAUAUUUUUUUAAGGGGCGGGUAAAAAAAUCAAACACGACAGACGGAAGGAGGACAAAGCUAAGGUGAGCUCUAUUUUCAUGAAUCUGCAUAAUUAUCCCAAUGACCCCACUCACUUUACCUUGUAAAUUUGCCACUAAAAUAUUGCUAAGUCCAAGUUCAAUGCUCCUAUAAUAGAGAGCAACCUCUUUGGGAUCCUCACUUAUAGAGAAAGCCAUUAGGUAUAUCAACAAACAGUUGUAAAUUUUUGAAAUGUAGUGAGUGAACUAUUUGUAUAGAGCCAGAUACAAAUAUCAGCAUAUCACAUUUUUUAAGUAGUGAAAUCUUCUUAUUAUUCUUCUUUGUACCCUAAAGUUGUAGCACAUGUUGUCUUAUAAUAUAUUAACAAUACCAUGUGAUCUUUUGCUAAUAUCUACCCAUAUGUUUUCCAAAUUCACUUACUCUUCUUUAUUCACAAUUUGAUGAAUUGAGUGUCUCUAUAUAUAACUCUACUUCUCAAAGCUACCAUUGCAAACACUUCAAAAUUUCCAAUUCACUUUCUUUUUUUCAUAAAUUCAAAACAGCUUCUUUAUUUCCGUAAAGUAAGGAUAAAAUCUGCGCGCAGUCAUACACACUACUCGAACCACACUUGUAAGAUUAUACUGAGUUUGUUAUUAUUAUUACUGUUUCUGAUUGCAAAGAUGGGAAGAAGUUUAAUUGGUAUAGUUCAUGCCAAAGACAAGCUUCGACUUCGAAAAUCGAUUUCACAUAGAAAUGGAAGUAUGUUAGCAGCAACUAAUCAAGUUCCAAAGGGGCAUUUUGCAGUGUACGUUGGUGAAACAUGUAGGAGAUUUGUUGUUCCAAUAGCAUAUUUGAACCAACCUUUAUUUCAAGAUUUGUUACAUUGGGCUAAAGAAGAGUUCGGAUAUAACCAUCCAAUGGGUGGUCUCACAAUUCCAUGCAGUGAAGAUUACUUCAUUAGUCUCACUUCCUUACUAAAGUCAUCAUAGGCAAAACAGCAAUUUUAUUUUUUACUUUUUUUAUGCUUUCUAUAUAUAUAUGGCUGAAAGAGAAAUGACUAAGUUAACUCUCUUCAAUUUUGAAAUAUUGGCUGGUGUCAAGUUUGUUUCCUAUAUAUAUCCGUUGUAAUUUGUACAUAAAAAUAUUCUUCUAAAUAUAUAACAAGAAAACACUUACUUCUUGGGGUUUUUUGUCAAAUUGCGACAGUUUUUGACCCCCACAAAAAGAAUUGUGGCGGUUUUUAGAAGUGCCAUAAUUACUUUUGCCAGAAACAUUUUGCGACGGGUUUUUAAAACCUCUACGACAACCGCCACAAAACAAAUUUUUGAUUUAUUGGGGUUCUCAAAGAUAAUUAAUGCUAGUUUAAAACCCCCGCAAUAUAAUUCAUGUGUGUCAAAAAAUAAUAUUGCGAGGGUUUAUAAAACCCCUCAAUAUAAUCAUAAUGGUUCAAAAAAAAUAUUGCGGGGGUUUAAAACCUCCCAAAAUAUGAAUUAAAUAUUUUUUUAAAAAGGUUAUGUGGGGAUUUUGAAAGAUAAUUAGUGCUUGUUUAUAAUCGCCCCCAUAUGAUUUCGAUGCGUCAAAAAAAAACAUACUGCGAGGGUUUAUAAACCCCCUCAAUAUGAUCAUAAUGGUUCAAAUAAGAUAUUUUGAGGGGUUUAUAAACCCUAUAAUAUGAUUUAAAUUUUUUUUAAAAAGUUAUGUGGUGGUUUAUAACCGCUACAAUAUAAUAUUAGUGUUUUAAAAAAAAUAGUGAACUUAUUUCUGCCACAAUAUUUUGUUAAAAACUCUUUUUCUAUUUGAAUUUUUUUUGUAGGGUUAAAAAAAUAAUUUUAUCAAAUAACUUAUAGCAUAAAUUAAGUUUCAUAAAAAAUAACCAUAGUGACAAACAUUAUAAAUUCAAAUCCUCAUGGAACUAAAUAAAUUUUUUAUCAUAAGCAAUGACAGGUGCUAUAGUCACCAACCAGCUAAGAUAUUAAAAAUGUAUUCAUCAAAAGAUUGAGCUUUACCAAUUUCACUCAAAUAUAAUGAAGUACUUUAUUCUAGCUAAGUCUCUGCAAACUCUGCCAAAGUAACACUGUCAUACAAUGGCUAAACUUUUUAUGGGAAAAUAACUAAUUCUUGGGUAAGGAUACAAAAAGAAAUUGAUAGGUUAUUAUGAAAACCUGAACUUGAUUGAGAACAGUGAGUUCUCAUUGUUCUUGUAAUAAUCAGCAAUGAAAUUCACCAUCUUGUGACUAUACUCUUUUUGUUGCUCUGCAUCCAUGGGCUUCAGUUCACCCUACCAAACAAGAAAAACCAAAUAAUAUACGCCUAAGGUUAUGCCAACUAGCUAAUGACUAAUUCAAAGUCAUUUAUUUCUUUGGAAGAACAAAUUUUGAAAUACUCUUGUACUAUGUGCAGAUUCCGGAGCAGCUUUUGAAUAGUAGCAUUUGGGUGGCUGGCUUUAGUCCAAUUAGAAAUCCCGAGGUAGUUCUGCAGGCUUCCGCAGGCCCGACAUUCUCUUCUAUAUUAUUAUGUAUUAUGUUUUCAUUUGACUUUGUGACAAAUUGUACUUCUUUCAGACAUUUAUUGUAGUCAUUAUAGACCUCCGUGAUAUUGUGAUACCAGAUUUCGAGUAGAGUCAUAUGUUGGCAUUGUCGUACUGUUUUUGAUUAUUAUAUCAGACUAAGUCUUCCGCUUGUUUUUUUUAUUAUUUACUGUUAAUAUUUCAAUAUUGAUUACCUGUUAAUUCAAUUUGUUAAAAAGGGCUAAAAUGAUAGAGUUAGUGAUUUCUUUAUUUUGCGGCUUGCCUAGCUUCUACGAGUAGGCGCCAUCAUGACUCCCGAGGGUGGAAAAUUCGAGUCGUGACAAGCUUGAAUCAUUCCUUGCUUUUGUUGGGACACACCUCAACUUUUGUGAUGACUCAUUUUGCUUUAUUCUUUUGCUACCCAAUGUCGUGGUCCAACGCUCGUCACAUUCUUUUUUUGCACCUAAAGGUUCACGAUACUUACGUGGUUAGAAAUGAUAUUUAGUAUUUAUGGGUCAUCAUUUCGUAUAAUCUAUAAAUAAAAAAAACUUAUGAGGAAGAAAUAAAAUAGAUGUCUAUUUAUUUUUUGCUAAAAAUAAAGAGACAGAAUCAUAGAAAUGUACAAAGACAAUAAAUGAAAAACUAGCGAGUAAGACAUAGAAAGAUCAUGGAAGACCUCAUAUCUUCUUUUGCAGUUAAAGAAAGUGAAGAGAAAAACUAGAAGGUAUAGGUAUUGAUGUAAAUUUCAUUAAUCGCAAUUGUUUUAACUAAAAUACAUAAUUUGAUUAAAUUUUAAAGAAAUAAGGUGGAAAAUAUAUCUAAAACUUUGCAUGAGUCAAAUUUAUUAGUUGAGAACAUUGUGAACGUGAAUAUCAUUAUAUUAUUUCUUCUAAAUUAGAUAAUCAAAAUUUGUAUCUAUUGUUAUUGGUUUUCAUGUCUUAAACUAUUAGGUUUGUAUUGUUUUGCUCAUUGAAAAUAAUUUCAUAUAUACAUGAAGGAGUAUUCUUUUAAAUUAUAGUGUUGAUGAACUUUCUUGAUUAAUUACUUUUAGGGAGGUAAAUUAUACCUUCAUAUAUUUUUAAAGAAAUUAUAAUUUUCUAAUUGUUUGAAAAUGAAGACAUUAUAGUUGUAUCUCACAGCAACUUUAACAUUAUUGCAUUAUUUAUAUUUGUAAAAAUAUACUAAAUAUACUUUAUUUUAUUUUUAAAUUUCUUAAACUUUAAUAGACUUUCGAUUUAUGCGUAAUUUUUAAAUUAAAAAAAUUAAUGAUAUAUGGGGCUUACGCAUCGUCCCAUAGUAAAAUGGCUUGCAUCACACGCCCGCCUUUGAAAAUACUAUUUGAACGUAGAACGCCUGCUAUGACAAAAGUAAAAGAAAAUUCGCAUGCUAAGUAUUGCAAUUACCUAUACCCCUUUAAAAUUUAAGUUAUCUCAAACAAAAAAAAAUUAAAUGUUUAUGUAGAUAAUUAAAAUACUUGGAUAUCUCUCCUGCAACUGUUGUCCAUCUCAUGUGUAGCCAUUACAUAUGAAUGUAAAUACUAUUUAUGGUUAACCUAAUGCAUAUUUUUUCGUUUAUAUUUGACCUCGUUGACCCUACAUUUUGUUCAGUGAGACUCGGUGAGUACCUGAUAUAUUUAAUUCUCUAUAUAUUUGUCUUCUUUGGAGACAAGUAUCGAAGUCGUGGUAUUUAUUUCACUCAAGAUUGGGUCUCUUUACCAGGUGUUCUACCCGUGGCUUCAGAAGAUAUUCACGUUUGGCAUAUGCCUGCUCUGACCGAGAUCUUUGGGGAUGAUUCCGUACUACGGUUCGGUGGAGGAACUUUAGGACAUCCUUGGGGUAAUGCGCCAGGUGCCGUAGCUAAUCGAGUAGCUCUAGAAGCAUGUGUAAAAGCUCGUAAUGAAGGNNNNNNNNNNNNNNNNNNNNNNNNNNNNNNNNNNNNNNNNNNNNNNNNNNNNNNNNNNNNNNNNNNNNNNNNNNNNNGUAAUGCGCCUGGUGCCGUAGCUAAUCGAGUAGCUCUAGAAGCAUGUGUAAAAGCUCGUAAUGAAGGAGAUGAUCUUGCUCAGGAAGGUAAUCAAAUUAUUCGCGAGGCUUCCAAAUGGAGCCCGGAACUAGCACAGUGGACAUUUUGGAUAAGUAAAAACAGUAGACAUUAGCAGAUAAAUUAGCAGGAAAUAAAGAAGGAUAAGGAGAAAGAACUCACGUAAUUAUCCUUCGUUCUCUUAAUUGAAUUGCAAUUAAACUCGGCCCAAUCUU
rnacentral:lncRNA from 1 species